rnacentral:rRNA from 1 species
UACGUAGGGGGCGAGCGUUGUCCGGAAUUAUUGGGCGUAAAGAGCGUGUAGGCGGCCAGGUAGGUCGGUUGUGAAAACUGGAGGCUCAACCUUCAGAGGUCGACCGAAACCAUCUGGCUAGAGUCCGGGAGAGGAGAGUGGAAUUCCUGGUGUAGCGGUGAAAUGCGCAGAUAUCAGGAGGAACACCGGUGGCGAAGGCGGGUCUCUGGGCCGAUACUGACGCUGAGGAGCGAAAGCGUGGGGAGCGAACAGG